CCUACGGGAGGCAGCAGUGAGGGAUAUUGCACAAUGGAGGAAACUCUGAUGCAGCGACGCCGCGUGCGGGAAGACGGUCUUCGGAUUGUUAAACUCUGUCUUUGGGGGAGUAAAUGACGGUACCCAAAGAGGAAGUUCCGGCUAACUACGUGCCAGCAGCCGGGGUAAUCCGUAGGGAGCGCGCGUAGUCCGGAUUUACUGGGUGAAAGGGGAGCGUAGGCGGGCGUGAAAGUUGAUUGUUAACUCAGCCGGCUUAACUGGUAGCUGCGUUCAAAACGUCAUGUCUUGAGUGAAGUAAUGGCAGGCGGAAUUCCUAGUGUAGCGGUGAAAUGCGUAGAUAUUAUGAAGAACACCAGUUGCGAAGGCGACUGUCUGGAGUGUAACUGACACUGAGGCACGAAAGCGCGGGGAGCAAACAGGAUUAGAUACCCGAGUAGUC
rnacentral:rRNA from 1 species